CCUACGGGAGGCAGCAGUGGGGAAUAUUGCACAAUGGGGGAAACCCUGAUGCAGCGACGCCGCGUGAGUGAAGAAGUAAUUCGUUAUGUAAAGCUCUAUCAGCAGGGAAGAAAAUGACGGUACCUGAGUAAGAAGCCCCGGCUAACUACGUGCCAGCAGCCGCGGUAAUACGUAGGGGGGAAGCGUUAUCCGGAUUUACUGGGUGUAAAGGGAGCGUAGACGGCAGUGCAAGUCUGGAGUGAAAGGCGGGGGCUCAACCCCCGGACUGCUCUGGAAACUGUACGGCUGGAGUGCAGGAGAGGUAAGUGGAAUUCCUAGUGUAGCGGUGGAAUGCGUAGAUAUUAGGAGGAACACCAGUGGCGAAGGCGGCUGACUGGACUGUAACUGACGUUGAGGCUCGAAAGCGUGGGGAGCAAACAGGAUUAGAUACCCGAGUAGUC
rnacentral:rRNA from 1 species